UCCCCGUUACCGAGGCGGUCUACCUAGAAAAAUUCAACUAGGUACAAGGGUUGCGCUCGUUGAUGGACUUAACCAAACAUCUCACGACACGAGCUGACGACGGCCAUGCAUCACCUGUCACAGGGUUCCAAAAGGCACACUCUACUUUCGUAGUGCUUCCCUGGAUGUCAAGCCCUGGUAAGGUUCUUCGUUUAUCAUCGAAUUAAAGAACACGAUCCACCGCUUGUGCGGUCCCCCGUCAAUUCCUUUAUGUUUUAGUCUUGCGACCGUACUCCGCAGGCGGGAUACUUAACGCGUUAGCUUCGCUACUGAAGGGGUCGAUACCUCCAACAGCUAGUAUCCAUCGUUUACGGCGUGGACUAC
rnacentral:misc_RNA from 1 species